rnacentral:lncRNA from 12 species
UGCCCAGAAUCUUAACUGCUAGGGAGUUUAGGAAAGCUGCUUUUAACUUUCCAAACUCUGUUUUCCAGGUAGACACAUGAUAAAUCAAAAUAGAAGCUGAGCGAGGUGUCUCCUUAUUUCCCAGAGGUGGCCUACCUUCUGCUGAGGGACCCCUGGAUUGCACCAGUUUCUGGAACUGCUGUUUUCAUUUCUCUUGUGCUCACUCCAACCUAUCUGUUGAGGAUCAGCAAGGUGUGGUGAAUUCAAGAUGAGCCUCCUUAUUUAAAGGUGGUUUUCCUUCUUGGGGUCUCUUACUGGACUUCGCUUCUGGUUGAGCCAUUGGAGUUAUUCUGUUAAGUAUCUGUAGACAUGGAUUCAUGGGCCUUCUUCAAGUUCUCAGUUUGUUAAGGAUACUUCUCCCUGAGGCAAAGAAAAAGAAGCAUAAGAAGCACCCAUCAGGUCACAUUUAAUGCUACAAAGUUUCAUGGUGCUAAUGACUGGUUUAAGUGGAGUUAAUGAACAUGGAAGUGCACCCAAUCUCUGUUUCUGGAAGACAGCAGUGUUAAUAAGCAUCUGUAGAGGCAUCAUCUAUCUUCACAGGAAGAAAGAGCCAGAGUGAACAGGAGAGUGAGGGCGAGAGCCAGAGAACGAGAAAGAGACAGAAAGAAAGGACUUUUUAGUGGCAAUGGAAAGGACCAGAAAAGAGGUUGAAACAACCUGCGGAACACAACAUCAGACUUCUGUUCUGAGGAUUUGAGCUGCAAGGUGAGGAAAGAGAGGGGCUGCCCAGAGAGUUGAGAAAAUUCAGUUUUCAUUAAACUUUUUAUUUACACUUGGGUAGGAGACCAGAGUGAGUGCUCUGGAAGCCAAAGGUGUAGACCUCUACUUGUGGACUUUUCCUGGGCAGGCAGAACAAUUCACUGAGAAGCAAUUUGGCUGUGGCUAGUUCACUGGGAAUCAAGUGAGCGAAUUCCAAAUCACAGAAUGAUCUGCUCCCUGAUUAACUAAGGAUUCGGCUCCCAGAUUUAUUCCCUCAGCAUUUGCAUAAAUGAUCUUUUAUAUGAAUGGGUGAGCUUUCCCUUAAAUGCGGUUUACUGCAUACCCCCUUUGUGUAUUUAUGUCUUGACCCUGUAUUUGGCACUGCUUUGGCCUGAGCUUCUGUGCCUGCUUCUGCUUCUGUUGGCAAAGCAGCAGCAACAACUUGCCUCACCAUGUUUAAGGUAUUCAUCUGAUGUGCCUUGUGGAUUGGCUUUGGGCAAGUUGAUUUUCAGUGAAUUGACUUAGAGCACUUCUAUAGGCUAGAAUCUUUCUAUUUUUGGGCUAUUGGUCCCUGCUAUAUUCCUACAUAUUAUUCUCCACCAUUCACCUGAGCCCAGCUGAGUGUCAGUGGGGGAAGUGGAGGAAUCACAUCCAAAAUGGCAUCA